rnacentral:rRNA from 1 species
UACGUAGGGUCCGAGCGUUGUCCGGAAUUACUGGGCGUAAAGAGCUCGUAGGUGGUUUGUCGCGUUGUUCGUGAAAACUCACAGCUCAACUGUGGGCGUGCGGGCGAUACGGGCAGGCUAGAGUUCGGUAGGGGAGACUGGAAUUCCUGGUGUAGCGGUGAAAUGCGCAGAUAUCAGGAGGAACACCGGUGGCGAAGGCGGUUCUCUGGGCAUGUCCUGACGCUGAGGAGCGAAAGCUAGGGGAGCAAACAGG